GUCCACGCCUUAAACGUUGAAUGCUGAGUAUUGGAGGAUUCGACCCCUCCAGUGCUGCACUUUUAAGUUAACACGUUAAGCAUUCCGCCUGGGUAGUACGAACGCAAGUUUAAAACUCAAAGGAAUAGACGGGGACCCGCACAAGCGGUGGAGCAUGUGGUUUAAUUCGACAAUAAGCGAGGAACCUCACCAAGGUUUGACAUCUAGCUGCAAGGCCUGGAAACAGGUCCGCCUUCGAGGGUGCUAGACAGAUGCUGCAUGGCUGUCGU
rnacentral:rRNA from 1 species